rnacentral:misc_RNA from 1 species
GAAAUGCGAUAAGUAAUGUGAAUUGCAGAAUUCAGUGAAUCAUCGAAUCUUUGAACGCACCUUGCGCUCCUUGGUAUUCCUUGGAGCAUGCCUGUUUGAGUAUCUUGAAAUCUUCAAAGUAAAUCUUUUGUUAACUCAAUUGGUUUCUACUUUGGUAUUGGAGGUCUUUGCAGCUUCACACCUGCUCCUCUUUGUUCAUUAGCUGGAUCUCAGUGUUAUGCUUGGUUCCACUCGGCGUGAUAAGUUAUCUAUCGCUGAGGACACUGUAAAGGGUGGCCAAGGUAAAUGCAGAUGAACCGCUUCUAAUAGUCCAUUGACUUGGACAAUACUUUUAUGAUCUGAUCUCAAAUCAGGUAGGACUACCCGCUGAACUUAAGC